rnacentral:rRNA from 1 species
GAUGAACGCUGGCGGUGUGCCUAAUACAUGCAAGUCGAGCGAAUGGAUUAAGAGCUUGCUCUUAUGAAGUUAGCGGCGGACGGGUGAGUAACACGUGGGUAACCCGCCCAUAAGACUGGGAUAACUCCGGGAAACCGGGGCUAAUACCGGAUAACAUUUUGAACCGCAUGGUUCGAAAUUGAAAGGCGGCUUCGGCUGUCACUUAUGGAUGGACCCGCGUCGCAUUAGCUAGUUGGUGAGGUAACGGCUCACCAAGGCAACGAUGCGUAGCCGACCUGGGAGGGUGAUCGGCCACACUGGGACUGAGACACGGCCCAGACUCCUACGGGAGGCAGCAGUAGGGAAUCUUCCGCAAUGGACGAAAGUCUGACGGAGCAACGCCGCGUGAGUGAUGAAGGCUUUCGGGUCGUAAAACUCUGUUGUUAGGGAAGAACAAGUGCUAGUUGAAUAAGCUGGCACCUUGACGGUACCUAACCAGAAAGCCACGGCUAACUACGUGCCAGCCGCCGCAGUAA